AGAGUUUGAUCAUGGCUCAGGAUGAACGCUGGCGGCGUGCCUAACACAUGCAAGUCGAACGAGAAGCUGACUUCUGAUUCCUUCGGGAUGAUGAGGUUAGCGGAAAGUGGCGAACGGGUGAGUAACGCGUGGGUAAUCUACCCUGUAAGUGGGGGAUAACCCUCCGAAAGGAGGGCUAAUACCGCAUAAGGUCUUCUCCUCUAAAAGAGAAGAAGAUUAAAGAUGGCCUCUAUACUAUGCUAUCACUUCAGGAUGAGCCUGCGUCCUAUUAGUUAGUUGGUGGGGUAAUGGCCUACCAAGACCACAAUGGGUAGCCGGUCUGAGAGGAUGUACGGCCACACUGGGACUGAGAUACGGCCCAGACUCCUACGGGAGGCAGC
rnacentral:rRNA from 1 species